GGGAAUGUAGCUUAAUGGUAGAGUGCUUGCCUAGCAUGCAUGAAGCCCUGGGUUCAAUUCCUCAGCACCA
rnacentral:tRNA from 1 species